rnacentral:rRNA from 1 species
CAAGUCGAACGGGAAUCUUCGGAUUCUAGUGGCGGACGGGUGAGUAACGCGUAAGAAUCUAACUUCAGGACGGGGACAACAGUUGGAAACGACUGCUAAUACCCGAUAUGCCGCGAGGUGAAACCUAAUUGGCCUGAAGAAGAGCUUGCGUCUGAUUAGCUAGUUGGUGGGGUAAGAGCCUACCAAGGCGACGAUCAGUAGCUGGUCUGAGAGGAUGAGCAGCCACACUGGGACUGAGACACGGCCCAGACUCCUACGGGAGGCAGCAGUGGGGAAUUUUCCGCAAUGGGCGAAAGCCUGACGGAGCAACGCCGCGUGAGGGAGGAAGGUCUUUGGAUUGUAAACCUCUUUUCUCAAGGAAGAAGUUCUGACGGUACUUGAGGAAUCAGCCUCGGCUAACUCCGUGCCAGCAGCCGCGGUAAUACGGGGGAGGCAAGCGUUAUCCGGAAUUAUUGGGCGUAAAGCGUCCGCAGGUGGUCAGCCAAGUCUGCCGUCAAAUCAGGUUGCUUAACGACCUAAAGGCGGUGGAAACUGGCAGACUAGAGAGCAGUAGGGGUAGCAGGAAUUCCCAGUGUAGCGGUGAAAUGCGUAGAGAUUGGGAAGAACAUCGGUGGCGAAAGCGUGCUACUGGGCUGUAUCUGACACUCAGGGACGAAAGCUAGGGGAGCGAAAGGGAUUAGAUACCCCUGUAGCCCUAGCCGUAAACGAUGGAUACUAGGCGUGGCUUGUAUCGACCCGAGCCGUGCCGAAGCUAACGCGUUAAGUAUCCCGCCUGGGGAGUACGCACGCAAGUGUGAAACUCAAAGGAAUUGACGG